rnacentral:lncRNA from 1 species
AUCAACAUCAAGCCCCCCAAUAUUUGCACCAGAUUUGAGGUAACACACAUUCUUCGUUUUGUGCAGACCAAGGAGAUUCGAUAUUCAAACCAAAAAAAAAAAAGGAGAUUCGAUCGGCCAAAGACUUUCUGACGGCCAGUCGCGCGCAUCUGGAAACAAAAUGUUGAAUGUGAAAUGAAUUCAUGUAUUAAUAUGAUUGAAUUGCUAGUUCUGGUCUUCUGGAAGAUAUUCUUGUUUUUUCAUGUAGAAUGAUUGAAUUGGCUUCGUCCUGUUAGAUAGUGGAAUACUAAUAUAAUGGUCGACUUAGCUACCAAAAUAUUCUUGUCGAUAAGAAUAGGGUAUCGGAUCUAAUCUUCCAGCCGGUAGUGCGAUGACUUCCGGUCUGCUUCCAACUCCAAAAUCCUUUUCUUUGUCUUGCAAACUAUUAUUACUUAUCACUGUUGUCAAACUACACAUAAGAGUGUGGGGAUUUCUAGUUACUCAGCGUAUCUGUGCAUCCUCUUCAUCUUGGAGUACUUUAAUAUAGGCUUAAUUAAGUUAGAGCUUAUGAGUAGUUCUAUAUUCAUCUUAAUUAUGUUAAUUAUGUGUGUUACUUAAUUAGUUAAUAACUCAUUAUGAAGUACUUUUAAUAUCCAAUUUUACGAUACGUAGAUAGACGAUGAAACUUUAAUAAAAAUAAUUUAAAAUUAAGUGGAUAACAGGAUACUCAAAGCCUAACAUUCAACAAGAUAUUGCAAUACUUUGUGUAUUUGUCACUAUAUUGUCAUAUUUUUUUAGGUGUAUUAAGUGAUUGCAAUUGGAGAAGAUGAGAAGGUUGUGUGCAGGGGUGGAACCACUCUCAACGGCCUGAAGGGGUUCAAACCCCCUAGCAAUCUGAUAACACAGCCAAAUAACCAAUAAAAUCUAUACAACUAGACAAGAGUUUGUGUUUCUAGCUCAACCGACCCCCUGGCAAUAUGAAAACAUGGCCAAAUACCAAUCAAAAUUAUACAACUAGACAAGAGUUUGUGUUUUUUUAGCCUACAAAUCUCCCUUUCCGGUAUUGAGUAGCAAGUCAGUAACUACUAUAAGUCUUAAAAAUAAUAUUUUUAAUAUAAAAGUAAAUUUCUGAUGACAAAUAUUAAUAGAAUAUAUUAACUCUCAUCAUAUGUUUACCAAAAUUUAGAAUAUAAGGAAAAAACAUUAAUAGAAUAAUAUAGAUGCUCCAUUAGGUAAUAAGGAGAAAUUAAUUUUACAAAAUAUUUUCUUAUCAUUUCAUAUUAUAUCUCGGACCCUUAAGUUAUAAAUCUUGUUCCGCCAUCGGUUGUGUGGAGUGGAUCAUAUGCUUUUAAGGAUUCAUGUGUGGGGGUGGGAACAGAUACAACACAGAUCAGUCCUGAAAACAGCAAAAACGGGAUGACAGUUGGGGCCUAACUCUGCUGGUCGGAUAUCAAGCUUGACAGCAGCUUGAUCAAGCCUUUACCAUGGACUAAGAGAGAUGGACAUUAACGACAAGGGGCUUGAAUUUUUGGGCCUUGAGCAUGCAUGCAUGUGGGCUCACCUUUGGCGGAGGUUGGGUUUGGACAAUUUUUUUGGCUCUGCAUUAUUUUUAAGAAAAAUUUCAGUUUACUCGUCUAAAUUUUAGGUCUAAAAAGUCUGAUACCUUUUUUUUUUUUUAUAAUCAGACUUAAUCCUAAACUUUCAAAAUAAUAUUAAUCUCGACCAAAAUUUGAAUCUCGUAUUAAACAUGAUGUCAUGUGCGCUGAUGUGGAGCAGACAAGGUUGAUCCACAUUAUUAUUUUAUAUUUUUAAUCAUUUUUUAUUUGAGGAAUUGAUAUCAAAAGACGUCAUCUCCGAUCUACAAACUCGUCUUCUCCUCUUCUACAUACUCGUCUUCCCCACACAAAUUUCGCCGGAGACCCAAAACCGUCGACUAAAUCUCCUUGUCUUCCCUUCUUCUCUUGUUCUCUGUAUUUCAGAAAAGAGGUCUUCCCUUCUUCUAUUGUUCUCUGUAUUUCAGAAAAGAGAAGGUGAAACCCAUACUCGUUUUGCCGGAGAUGACGGAGACCCAGAUUCGAUAUCUUCACACUUCUAUUCUCAAUACCCAAAGCAGUCAAGUGAACCCAGUGCUCAUGUUUCAUUUUAAGCUUUACCGAUUUCGUUUUGUGAAUUGCUAUGUCAACCGAUGUCUUAUGGGUUUGUAUGUUUGCAUGUCAAAACAUUGCUUUGAACCACGUGGGAGAAUUUCUGAUAUUGCAAGUGGUCAAUUUGAUGUUUAGUUACUGCUUUCCAUUUAUUUUCUUUUGUGGCAUUUGUGAUCAUAUGUAAGGCAUCUGGGUAAGGUGAAGCAGUAACGAGAAGAUUUGGUCGGCGGCUUUGGGUCUCCGGCGAAACGAGUCUGGAUUUGAUGGGAGAAGACAAGCCUGUAAAGAGGAGAUGACGUCUUGGCUUAUCAAUUCCCAAAUAAAAAAUGAUUAAAAAUACAAAAUAAUAAAUUUUUGUUUAAUUAAACAUCAUCAUCUCCCCUUUACAUAUAUAAAAUAAGGAAAAUACUCAUUCAGUACUAAUUUAAACUUCUCAUUUUCCAUUCUAAUGACAAUCUUUUUCAUUAGCUUAUUUUAAUAUAAGGAAACUUUUUUUAUGCCCAAAUGCACAAAUUUUUACUAAAGUCUUAACAAACCAUAUUAUUUUAAGACUUUUUUUUCCCUCACCCCUUAAACAUGCAUAGAGAGAGAAAAUGAAAGAGAGAAUACUUGGUCGGAAUCUCACCGGACUCUGGUCACCGGCCGCCGGACUCCGGUCACCGGAAUUUCCCUUGUAACUAGUUACUGACCCCCAAUAACCAGUUACUAAUCAGUUAAUGACCCUAAUAACCAGUUACUAACCCCCAGUAACCAGUUACUGACCAGUUACUCACACCCAGUAACCAGUUAUUAACCCCAAGUUACUGACCAGUUACUCACACCCAGUAACCAAUUACUAACCCUUAAUAAUCGUGUUACUAACUUCUAAUAAUCAGUUAUUGACCCCCAAUAAUCAACUUAUUUCAACUUAAUGUAAUAGAAAAAAAAGAUUUACCACAAAUAAUCGAAUUACUGACCUUAAUAAUCGAGUUACUGACCCCAAUAACUUUUAGUUUUCAGUUACUGACACUCAAUAAUCACUUUGUUUUCAGUUACUGACACCCAGUAAUCACCCAAUAAUCACUUACUGACCCUCAAUAAUCAGGUUACAAACCUCAAAUAAUAACUUACUGGCCCCAAUAAUCACUUAUCAAUCCUCAAUAAUCACUUACUGACCCCAAUAUUCAAAUAUAAGGAUAAAAAAAAAAACUAACUGACUUGAACUGGGCACCCACCAUCCCCGACGGUGAGCACACCGGCCUCCUCCACCGACCCCGGCGCAUCCUGGCAAGCAACACCCUUCCCCAGCCACGAUCCAGCCCGGAUCGAACUCUAGCCGAGCCCUAGCUCCGAGCGCCGCCCGGCAACACCAUCAUCGAUCUUGGCACAAACCCAGACCCGACGUCGACGAGUUUAGAGGAGCGGCGGAGUAGGAAACCAAGGAGGGAGAUGACAAUGGAGGAGGAGAAAGAGACCAUGCAUACCGCCGGAGACGAUCGGAGACUUAAAAACAGAGACGUCAAUGAGUUCAGAGGAGCGGCAGAGUAGGAAACCGAGGAGGCAGGCGACAAUGGAGGAGGAGAGGAGAAUGGAUGAGCCAGCAGGCUCUAGCCGCGAGUGAGCAACUGAGACAAGGCCGGAGAAGCUUUGAGAAGCAUGGUGGUGAAUUCUCAAUGGAAAACGAGGAGAGAGAGAGAGAGAGAGAGAGAGAGAGAGAGAGAGAGAGAGAGAGAGAGAAGAGAGAGAGAGAGGAAAACGAGGAAAACCAGAUCGGGAAUAAGAGCAGGAGAAAGAGAUAAGAUUUGUGUGGUUUAGUUACACAGGGUAAUAGUGUCUUUUUCUCAAGAAUCAUUGGAAUUGGUGAUGUGCUCAUAUUAUCCUAUAUUUAUAAGCCUCUUAUGCUUGAGAUUUGUGUUUAGUUCUCUUCUUUGUGAUUGAUUUUACGUUAAUUUAAUGUUUUUGUAGGUUUGUGUCAUAGAGAGAAGAAAAUGAGCUAAAACAAGCAAAUAAGGAUUGAAAGGCGACUACAAUCCCAAGUGCUAGAAUCUGCCUAUGCAGAACAGCCCACUUUGCCGAAUUACAGGGAAUUACUCGGAUUGAAUCAGACUAUGAGCCUUAUAUCAUUGGAAAGCUAUGGAAGUCUACUUUCUGUAGAAUUUUACGGAUCUCGAUUUCGAUACUUAUGGACUGAGUUAUGAUCAUUUGAAUGAAGAUAGGUCAGAUCAGAAAAUCUGCUCGGAAUUACAAGCUUUUGUGGAGAACUCAAGUUUCGUGUCACAAGAUCGCUUAAUCCUAGUGCUUCAAGGACAAUAAUUCAGAUGAGGAUUCAAAAAGUACAUGUAUUCCUAGUUCUACAAGAGAUAUCUCAAGAUUUUUCUCAUUCCAUAUAAAGAAAGGAGUCUGAAUCCAAGUCUUACAAGGAAAUAUGAAACCAAAAAUGAGCAGGAAACUUCUCUAUAUAAGGGAGCACGAAUUUCACAUUGAGGGAGGUCUCGAGAGCACAUUGAAGACGCCUAAAGGAGCAGAGACCAUCCAUCCAUCCAUCCACCUUUCACCUUUUUGUUCUUUUUAUGUUUUUGUUAUGUUUUAUUUAGUCAUGUUUAGUUAAACCUUUUCUAGGGUUAGGAUGAUUCCCUAACAUGAAUGUUUAUGUCUUUGAUGAUUUAUUAAUAGAUUUAUAGUUUCUUAAUAAUGAAUGCUUAAUCACUGGUUGAAUUUUAUGCUUGAUGUUUAAGUUCUUUGAUUGAUCACCUUAGGGCUUUGCAUUUAGUAAUUGGAAGAUAAAUUUGAAGCAGAGAUGCAAUAUAAUUUAUAUAGCUUCUUGUGGUUAAGUGUGAUGAAUUACAUUGUUGCUUGAGAAAGAAUAAUGGUUUGCUUGAUUCUCUUAUUUUCUAGUUCGUAAUGACUCCUGCAUGUUAAAUUUAUACCUGAGAAUGAUAGACUGCAUAGCUAGGAUAUACGACUUUUACCCGAGAGGGAGAGCAUCAUACACUUAAGGAAAAUUAUGGUCUAGAGUACCUGAGAAUGACUUAGAUACGGGAAUUGUCAUCUAGAGAAACGAAAGAGUCUGUUAGUUGCAUCAAAGCAUAAAUAGGAUUGUUAGUGGUUGAUUCUGACGCCCUAGAUUCAUUUAUCAUUAUUUGUUUACUUAUUUUAUUGUUUCUUUGUUUCUUUAAAUUGUUAUCGUGAUUGUGUGUUUUAGUAUAGUUAGUUUAGGUAUUUCAUAAUUUGAAUUAAACUAAUAUCCUCGUGGGAACGACAACCCCUUCUCUUCCAUUUCACUAUACUACAUCCACCCUGUAUACUUGCAGGAAUUCCAUCAAUGGGCACAAAGAUAAAACUUUAAUUGGAAUGGGCUUUAGUUUUUAAAUAUUUGGGCAUUAGGGCAUUUUCUCAAUAAUAAUUUCUCAAAUAAAUUUUUGUUAAAAAUAUAAAAUAAUAAUGCUCCACAUCAGCGCAUGACAUCAUGUUUAGUGCGAGAUUCAAAUUUUAGUCGAGGUUGAUGUCAUUUUGAAAGUUUAGAGAUGAGUCUGAUUAAAAAAAAAAAGAUAAGGUAUCAGACUGAUUUUCGACCUAAAGUUAAGGGGAGUAAACUGGAAUUUUCCUUUAUUUUUAAUUUAAUUAUAAUUUUUAUGUUGUUUACUUUAUUUGUGCUUUAAGUGAGAAAUAAGACUUUACAUAGUUUCGUAGGACCUACUGGGAUUCGUACCAGUGUGUGUACUCAAUGUGCCUUGUCUACUUUAGGUAGGUGACGACUUCCUUGAUGUGUCAAAUGAUCAUUGUCACCUAAUGGUAUUGUGAAGUUAGAUGUCUUUGAAUCUCUCUUUCAGCGACGACAUAGUUGGAAAGCUGAAUUAUUGGACAUUAGGACGUGUAAACGUGUUACAUAUCUUGUGAAUUUCUCAGUAUGUCGUCAGUGUGUAAAAAAAAAAAAAUUGUUGCUAAUAGAGUAGUAGAGUAAUACUCUUUUCUGGUUGGUGCUUGUUAGAAUAUUUAUCUGAUACAAAGAACUCUAAAUACUUAGACAUAGGUUCAAUGUCCCCUCCCUUUCCCACCUCGGAAUUUUUAUUAAUAAAACGUGAUGGCAUUCACCCCAAAGGUGAGGCGUUCAAACUUUAAUCGCUAACAUAAAUAAAACAAUCACUCACUUGUCACCAAUAGGCAAUGACCAACCUAGCACACAAAAUGGGGUUCCAAAACAUCUACCACCGAAAGACUCGAAUGCUACCUUUAAUUGUGUAGUGUAACAAGCACGCAGGCAAAAGAACCAAUGCCUCGUUUGUUUCAUGGAAAGGAAGCAUCAAAAAAGGAAAGUUGUUCAUUUCCAGUGUUUGGGAAAGCAUAAGAAAAGGAAACAUUUUCUUGAUUGAUGGGAAAUAUGGGGGAAAAUGGUUCCUUCCAAAAUCCUAAGGAACCACUUUCUUUUCUUCUUUCCCUGUAUUUAUUACUCACAACAUAAUAUUUUAUUAUAUUAAAUCUCAACUGUUUAACAACUUUCUAAUGGAAUUUCCUGGUGUUACCAAACAUCGGAAUAGAAAGUUCUUGUAAAAUUUAAUUCUUAUUCUCUUUCUCUUCCCAAGGAAAGAGAAAAGAACCACUUUCCUUUCCGGGAACCAAAUGAGGCACAAGGGUGGCCUCCCUGACGUGCUUACCUAGAGGACCAUUGUGUAGUGUUUAGGCUGAAGCCAACUAUGUUUAAACAAUAUGAUCGAUGACAUCAUGUCAACCACGAAACGUGACAAAGAGCAUAUUAGAUCAAAGAUAGAUGACAUCGACACAUCGUUGGGACAACAUCAACCGUUGUUGAAUUGAUGUAGAAACUCACGUUAGAUGUAAUUUUGCUUCAAAAAAUAUGCAUCUUUGUAUGACAAACUUUGCAUAACCAUAAUCUAAUGGAAGGUCUUUAAUAUCCUAAAUUUGGUUUGUAUACUAAAAUCAAACUUAAAAAUAUGAGAAAGGAUGGUAGUAGAAACAAGUUGAAGAUCUUCUCUAGCUAGUAUUGGAGAAUAAGACCCUUUCUGAAAAUAAAAUUGCAACGGUGGCGCACUUCUGUUGUUAACAGUUCUAUGUGACGAGAGACUACUCGAUCCCUUAAUGGCAACACACAAUUAUAUUGCAUAUGGAGAGCAAGAGCGCAAGACUGAGAUCAAUCAAUUUGAAAUAUAAACUCAUAUAACCAAAAUCCAAAACUUUAUAGCUAUAAUACUGUCUGACAACACAUUCAUAUAUAGAUCUAAGCAAACAAUCUCCUUAAAAGAAAAAAAAAUACAAACAAUUCUAGAUUUGAUGUAAAAGAAAAGGCAAACAAACAAACAAUUUAAGAAAUAGAUGAAAUUAAUAAACGUAGUACUUGCACCGCGAAACCUCAAUGAGAUCGUCGAGAAGUUUAGUCCUUAUGCAAAUCCUUCAGUCGUCGGAGCCAAAGAGACCACCUUCGCCAAAGAUAUCACCAAGAUCUCCAUCCUCUUCCUCUUCAUCUUCAACCUUCUCUUCCUUCUUCUGCUCGGCUGAAGCAGUAUCAGCAGCACCUGCGUUACCGGCUGCGGGUGCGACACCAGCAACUGCGCCGCCAGAAGGAACAACAGAUGCCAACUUCUCUCUCCCGGAGGCAACUACCUCGUUGAUCUCUUUAUCUUUCAUUUGGGACAACAACAACUCGAUCCUAUCAUUAUCGACUUCGGCUCCGACAGACCCGAGAAUCUUCUUCACAUCAUCAGCAGUGGGACUGGUGUUCCCUCCCAGAACAGCCAGCAUAUAAGCAGCAAUCACCUUCAUGUCUUCUAAUUAACAAUGAUAGAGGGCUUCUUCAACAGGGGGAUUAGGGCAAAUUAAGUUGGGGAUUAUUGUAAGGGCGGGGUGGUUUAUAUAGAGUUUGAGAAAGGUUUAGUCGGCUAUCCGAGGACGUGGAGACCGAGUUAUAUAUGGAAAAGGAAUCCUAGUGCUUUAUGGAAAUUCAAAGUGGUGAUUAUGGUAGGUCUGUACUUCUUAUGGUAAGUAGUGUCUUAAGGUACUACGUGGGAUUCAAGGUAACCGGGUGCUACAAGGAAAAACCACGCAAUUUUGUUUUCUAUUCCUAUAAGGAAUAGAAUUAGAUAGGCUUUGACCAGAGAAGGAUUUUAUAGGUUAUAUCAUGUGUCAAUUAACACAACAUUAUAACUUUGCUCCCAGUUUGGUGAGAAUUAGGCCCGCUGCUAGUUAGGCCAAGUUUAACAAGAAAAUUUAUACAUUUAUAUAUAUACACACACACACUAAAGCUUGGUUAACUGUUCAUAAGCAUAUGAACAAUAUACUGACCAUUUUGCCUCUGUUAUUUUUAGGAAACCACAAUAUUGUCAUUAACCCUAGAUAUAUAAUCAGUAUAACAGCUGAGUAUAAUUUGCAUGUAUAACAUUCUAUGAAGUACAUAUCAGAAACAUUUUCAUCAAUCAAUUAACCCAUUGACCAACUUCAUAACGUUGAAUUUGGAUAAAGUAAUUUUAAUGUCCAUAGAAAUUUCAAAAUCAUAGGAAUUACAAUUCCAUGAAUUUAAAUCCUAUUAAUUGAGAAUUUCAUUGUUUGGAUUUCAUGACGUACAGUUUUAAAAUGACAAGAAUUUGUAUUCAAACUAACCUUAGUUAAGGAAAUUGACAAAUGAUGUUUAUUUUGUGAGGAAUUCAAGUUGGGAAUUUAAGCUCCUAAAUUCCACAAUCAUUUUCCCGUGAAUUCACUCGCAUCCAAAUACACAGUAAAUGUAUACACCGCAUCAAGGCGUGGGUAUAAUUCUAGUUUAUACUAUAUACAGUUCCCUUAUGAACAGUAACGUUAGGCGAAAAUGACGAUUUCGUCCCUUUUUUUUGUUUAAUUACAGCUCUUACCCGUGAGGCUAAAAUGACGAUUUCGUCCCUAUUUUUUAUUUAAAUACAGCUCUACCAUGGGGCUAAAAUGACAAAUUCGUCCCUAUUUUUUUGUUUAAUUACAACUCUACCGUGGAGCUAAAAUUACAAUUUUGUCCCUAUUUUUUGUUUAAUUACAGCUCUUACCCAUGAGGCUAAAAUAACGAUUUCGUCCUUGUGUUUUGUUUAAGCUCUGUCAUUAAGAAACUUUAUGAAAUGACUGAUUUACCUUUCAAUUGUUGCUCAAUAUCAAUUUUACCAUCUUCUUACACCAAAAAAGUUGAAACCUCGCGUUUCGACACGGGUACAAAUCGUAGUAUAGUAGAACACUGACCCGAGUUAGUUUUUAGUUUCGAUUGUCCUAUUUUCACCUGCAAUGAGCAUAAGUUAUUUAUUUAAUCAAUAGAUGAGCACAGCUAUAUUUAAUGUUAAAAUUUUAAAAAAAAAAAUUUAGAUGCUAAAAUUUAAAAUAUUACCUACACUACUGGAAAAAAGCACUUAGGAGACGGAAUUAUUUCGUCUCCUAAGUGACAGAUUUCAUCUCCUAAGUACUUAGGAGACGAAACGUCCGUCGGCUAAGAUCCGUCGCCUAAGUGUGGUGAGGUAGACACUUAGGCGACAGAAUAGUUGAAUUCCGUCGCUAAAGGCUGAAAAAAAAUUUUAAAAAAAAUGUCACUGCAUGUUUUUUAUCCACUCACUCCGACCGCCCCAAAUACCACCACCACUGCAGGUUUUAGAAGUCACAACUAAAUGUCUUGAACUUUUCUCAUCCUGCAUAUAAGUAGUAAAAACUUGCAUUUAUAAACUGCAUAUGGAAAAAAUAAAAUUUACCGUCCCCCAGUAAACUUCUACUGGGGAUCAGUAAACUUACAAAAAAUAACCCUUUUUUAAUUUCAGGGACACAACACACAACAUAUACCAAUUCUUACCUUAAUAAACAACUUUAUUGGCCUCUAGUGAACCCAGUAGAAGUUUACUGCCCCCCAGUAAACUUCUGGCAGUAAACUUCUACAGGGGGUCAGUAAAAUUCAAUACAGUAUUUCUCUUUCAAUUUCAUGUUAAUUAUACACAACAUAUACUUAUUCUUACCCUAAUAAACAAAUUUAUUGCCUCAUAGUAAACCCAAUGAAAGUGUACUGCCCCCAGUAAACUUCUAUUGGGGGUUAGUAAACUUCAAUACAGUAUCUCCCUUUCAAUUUCAUGCCAACAAUCUGCCCCGGCCCAAAUAUACCACCACCACCACCGUACCAAAUAACCACCAUGCCAUCACCAUCAUACCAAUCACAUCCUAACCAAAAUAAAAUCAAAUUCAAAUUAAACAAAAACACAUAAAUCUAUCACCAAAGCUAAUUAAACCAGAAAAAUUGAAGAACUUACCUUGAUUUCUUACCCCUUUUAAAUUUCAGGGGACGGUGGUGGGUCAACGGGAAGGUGGAGGCAACGGCGUCUGUGGUGACCCAGAUCUGAGACUUGGUGCAAGAGAAGGGGACGAGGAGUUUGCUAGCGGCGAGGACGGGUGAGUCGGGUUGGGUCGAGAAGGGGAGGUUGUUGGGUCCGAGGAAGGUGCGGAAGUGGCCGGGUGAUGUUGAAGAGGGUCUUGAUGGCGUUGAGAGUGAUGGCGUUUGUGGGGACGAAGUCGAUGAGAACGUGGCAGUUGAAGGUGGCGGCAGAGGAAGGAGCGGUGAGAAUGGAGAGAGAGGCCGGCAUGAGAGUGAUGGUCUGGAGAGAGAGAGAGAGAGAGAGAGAGAGAGAGAGAGAGAGAGAGAGAGAGAGAGAGAGAGAGAGAGAGAGAGUAGUAGUAGUUAGUUAGUUAGUUAGUUAGUAGUAGUAGUNNNNNNNNNNNNNNNNNNNNGAGAGAGAGAGAGAGAGCUCUGGGAAAAGAUGGGUUUUUUUUCUAUUGAUAAGGUUGGUGAGCGUGUGAUUUAAAAGAAUUGAUAUGUUUUGAAAAAUUUUGGUUUGAAUUUUCAUGAAAUUUUACGCGGGAAGAUGGGCGCUCCAAAUUUUUAGAACUUAAGCGACAGAAUGUUCUAUUUUCGUCGUCUAAGUGAUUCAUAAUUUUAUUUUUUUAAAAAAACAUUCCGUCUCCUAAGUUCUACUUAGGCUACGAAAUGUAAUUUCGUCUCCUAAGUGAUUCAUAUAAAUUUUUAAUUUUAUUUUUCAAAAUGCCGUCGUCUAAGUAAAAAUAUUCUGUCUCCUAAGUAGUACUUAAGCGACGGAAUGAAGUCGUUCUUAGGAGACGAAAUCGAAAUAUUUCGUCUCCUAAGAACAACUUAGGAGACGGAAACUGUUUCGUCGACUAAGUAGAAAAUUCCGUCGCUUAAGUACCACUUAGGAGACGAAAUUUUUUAAUUUCGUCGCCUAAGUGCUAUUUUCCAAUAGUGCUUAAGCAUUUUGGUAAACAAAAAAUGAGCAAAAUCAUAAGCAUCGCUAGAUAUAGUGACACAAUGUAAAAUAUAAAUGUUGUUAUACAUAUAUAUAAAAUUAUGUAAAAUAUGAAGUAUAUUGUUAUGCGGAAGCGUAAACAAACCGAAUAUUGAAUGAAACAAAUAAAAGAAAAGGUAAACAAGGACACAUAAUUUAUAGUGGUUCACCCAAUCAAUAUGAUUGAGCUACGUCCACUUUUGGAGCCGGCGAGAAAUUCCACUAUGACAAAAGAGAGAGAAUACAACAGAGUAAUAUUCUCAACCCCAUGUUAUGUGGAAGCAGCUGACGUGCCUCACGGGUCUCACACACACAGGUCCAAUAAUACCGCUACUCCCCCACUUUAGCCACCCGGUGGAGAAACAGGUACGGGGUUUUACACAAAAAGCAUUGGCAUUAGUGUGUGUGGUACCAUUCCUUAUAACCUAAGGAUGACUCUUUCACGUUUCCGAUGUGUGAUUCAAAAUGGCUCAUAUCUAAGUCACACUUUUUCCAAUAAUCUCCACAUGGUGUGAUUUGAGUCAUCUCCAUCUGUCUCAUGAUCCAAAUUCCAAUAGCUCAACCUCAAUCACAACCAUCUGAAUCUUAUGAUCCCAAUCCAAACAGGAGCUCCGUCAAAUUGCAACUCGAUCGUACGAGACAUCAUGUCCCAAGUGUCACCUGGGCUUUGAUACCACUUGUUAUGUGAAAGCGGCCAACAGAUCCCACGGGUCUCACACACACGGGUCCAAUAUAUAUCUCCACUAGCUAAAGAAGCAGUUGAAAGUAUCGUCAAGUAACAUCUUGUUUAAACAAGUUCUUAUCAUAUCUAAAAGGGUAAAUUCCUUUUAUAGUACAUGAGGUAUCUCUAUUAAUUAAGGCAAUUUGCCUUAUGGAACUGCCAUGGUUAAAUUUAUCUUAAUCCUCAUAAAUGCUCUUACCUGAAAUUCAAUAUAGCAAAUCAAAAAUAUAUAAAAGAAGGGUAAAAAAGACAAAAUUCAAUAAAAAAGGAUUACAUGGAUAAAAUUUCAAAAUAGCAGUUAUGCGUUGAUCAGCAGUAUCUCAAACCAAACUGCACCUGUCUCUUCCUCCUAUUUACGUGCAAGUAUAUCUUCUCCACUUUUUACAUUUGCUAAAACUGCUCUUCCUUCUCUGUCAAAACUGCUCUCAUGCCUUCCUCUCAGGUAACAAAUUUCUUCUCUCCUCGAUAAUCUGAUGGAUGAAGGCUGAUCUUAUGUAACAAAAAUAAUAUUGCAAAAGGAGAGAGAUCGAGGGAAGGCUACCAGAUUUGAUAACUAAGCAUGUUAUUCUUUUGUUCAAUUAUUGGUUUUACACACACUGACUUCUGGGAUUUUUGUUUUCCUGUUUGUUUACACACACAAAAUGUCAUGCACAAUUUAAUGGGAAACAAAUGGGUGUGCUUGGUAUCAAGAAUUCGUUUUUUCUAACCUUCAACCAAAUUUUUCCUUCUUUCCUUUUUUCAGGUUUUCAUUUGCGUGCAGCACUCAGACCAUGUUCAUCACUGAGGAUAUAACCAAAGGUUCCUCACCUUCUCAUAUCUUUGUCUUUGUACGAUUUCNNNNNNNNNNNNNNNNNNNNAAAAAAAAAAAAUAAAGGUUUUGAAAUCUAAUCUACCAAAUCAAAAUAAAAUAAAGAUAAAACACUAAAGGAUAGGAGAUCAGGUUUCAAAUUUCAAACCAAUGAGGUUGUUCAGUUCAUUAUCACUACCUUAACCAUUUGCAAGCUUAUCUUCUUAUUCUUUACGUAUGCUAACUGCUCACAUCCUCAAAAAAGAAAAAGAAAAAAGAGGAAAAACUGAAUUGUUCAUCUUCUGCUCUCUGCUUAUUGCUUUCAACAUAAUCUGAUGUCUUCUUUUUUUUAGGAAAGAUUUGAAGGCUUGGGAUUCCAGUUGGACGAAAAAUUUGAUUUCGAUUUGUUUAUGUUACAGACGAUCGAGCAGCCUUGCCAUCAAACUAGAAGGCCUUUGUCAACGCGCAAGGAACGGAAGGUGGUGAUCAAGGUUUAAGCCUUUAGUUGAUACAUUGUUCAUAUUGACAAUUUUUGCACAUAUUAUGGCUUUUAGUUGUUUUACCAUAGGCUAAUUGCACGUACAAUGCAAUUGAUAAGGAGAAAGAAAAAAAAAUGAAAAUUAUGAUACGUUAUUAUCUAGAUACCUUCUAUAAUUUUGUCAAGGUAAAUAUCAGCCAUCAGAGAUGAUCAAUGAACAACAACAUUAAACGUACACGUGAGAACGGUCAUUUCGCACGAGCGAUCACGCGUGCAGGAAGGUUAGUAGCUAAUUAGACAAUUUGAUAGCUCAUGUAUAAAAAAGGACAAUUUAGUACUACUCGGGUUUUUCCCAUAUGCAUUUUAGGUCUUCCAUAACACUGCAUCAAUUAGAAAUUUGAAGUUGAGUCCCUUCUUUUUUUUAAGGUCACACCAAAUUAGGGUAGUUGUGAAGCCAUUGCCGUUGUAUGUCCUACGAGGCACCCCAACAGGCCAAAACCAUCAAUGUUGGGAAACUUCUCUGAAUUUGCUCCAACAAAAUCCAAAACUGAAUCCAUUGAUGUCUAACCCCCUGUACCCAAACAACAUACCAGACCUCAUCAUCAUCAUCAUCAUCAUCAUCAUCUCCAACUGAAAAGUCAGACUUCCACACCCCACACGUGUAAAUCUGGCAGAUGUCUGAAGAAGAAGGGGCAGUUCCGUACUUUCAACUCCUUCCUUCCCCUCAUAUUCCGAUCUAGAUUAGCUUCUUGUUUUCUCGUGAACAUCGACCAAACGUGGCGGGACUAAAGCGCGUCCCAAAACACGUGUUUAUAAGUCGUCGAACUGGCUUCGCCAAACGUAGCCUUAACUGCGUGGACUUUUCGCUCACGCCACAGCUAACUCACGAGCCUCCUAUGCUACGUCGUUUUGGGGCCUUGUUGUACGUAUCGAAAUUCACCGCCGAGGGUAAAAUUCAAGCCGUGUUUGGCUGCCAAACUUUGGCAUCUUAAUAACCUAGCUCUGCCAAACUUGGUUAACCUCGCUAAUUUUCUUCAAGUGUAUUUCAAUUUUCAUGGUUCUGUUAUCUAAAGAAAUCAAUUCCUCAUUUUCAAAAUAAAUCAUUUCCUCGUAAAAAGAAGAAACAUGUAAAUUGACUCAUGUCUCACGAUAUUCCUUUUACAAUUGAGACACCUGUUAUGCCUAUAUUUAAUCAAAUUGUCAAUUUUUUGAAUAAAUAAAAUACCCUUUUAAUUGAACUAAGAGGAUAAACACAUUAGAAAAUGGUUUUGAUUUAUUUGACCUGGAUAGAGAGAUUCCAAAAUGAGCUUGAUAUUGUUCAUCUAUCAAAAUGUGUUUCCAUAUUUCCUUCCAAACAAUAUAUGAAAUAUGAAUAUGUAUACACUACACAUUGAGAGAUCACUCCAUUCUUGUUUGAAACAAUAGGAUAAUGGUCCAUUAGUUUCCUAGAAAAUAAGCCAUCACACUCAUUUAUCACUUCACAUUUUAUUUUAUGUCUUAAUCUCAUAAAUUAAAAUAUGCAAGGUUUAGCCAUUGAGUUAGCACUUAGCUACAUGGUGAUUAUGAUUAAGAUGCAGAAACACAAAAAAAAAAAAAAAAAAACUAAAAAUCAAGCCACGUAAAGACAAAUCUCUUCUUAAAGCAAUAGAACAUCUUAAUUCUUUUUCAAACUAUAGUACAAAUCUCGAGUUCAAUCUUUAGCAAAUCUUAAAAUUUCCUUGAACAUUAUAUAAGAUCAUCUUAACUCUAGGCUUGACAACUAAUAUAUUACAAAAAUGUCAAAACUUUAUGCUGCUCAAAUUUGGUGAAACAUACUUGAAAUAUAUACUCCUUAAUUAAGAUUUAAAUCGUGAAACAUUGUGUCUUUUACCUUCAAAAUUGAUAAUAUCCUAAAUCAUAGGUCUGACUUGAAUGUUGAAUCUAUAAAAAGGAAGCAUCUCUAUCCCCAAUCCUUGAAACAGAAUAAAAUCCAAGACUCUUAAUGACAUUAUAGAAAAGGAAAAUACCCAUAAAUAUUUCACUAUUGAAAAGAGAAAAGAAAAGAAAAAAAAGAGAAGCACAUUUUUAAAAUUGCAAAUUUCCAUUUAUUGAUAGAACUUCUGUAACAGUGGGGGACAAUAGAAACGUCCUCCAAACAGUCCAAGAAUAUUUACUGAAUGUAGAAACCAAACUAAACUUCUCUGCUUCACCUGAAAUGUCUCCAUCUCACUCCCUCUAAAUAAAACCCACAUAGUAAAUUUAGCCGGUCACUCAUUUCCUCUCUCUUGGAAAUAGGAACAGGAACAAGAAGAAGAAGAAAGAGAGAGACUUUGAAACAGGGUAGGAAGAGGUCUCUCUGUUUUUGAGAGAAAGGAAUUAUUAUUUUUUAUUAGUUUUGUUGAUAUAUAUAUAUAAAUAAAAGGAAACGAGAUCUCGACCAUAAUUCUGGGUUUUUGCUAAACUCGGAUUUGGGGCCCUUUUUUUCUUUCUGAUAAAAAGGGAUAUUCUCUGUCUCUCGCGGUUUCUCUCUCUUUUACUGCUGUCGUUUGUUUCUGUUCCUGGUAAUAAUCCGCUAUCUGCUUCACCAUUGUUGUUUCAUUUUUCAGUUUUGGAUGUUGUUUUGGUUGGUGGGUUGAUCUGAUUGAUCAAGAUCGUUUUUUGGUAAUUUAAUUGUGUCAAAGAUCAAAUCUUUGGCGUUUGGUUUGGUUUGUUUGAUUGGAUUUGUUGAAUGGUAAUGUGAUCGUUGGUUUUUGAUUGUCAGAUUUAGAUUGUGUGUGUUCAUAUUGAGUUGGUAGAAUGGCGUGAAUGGCUGCAGCUAUGUGUAUCUGUUUGGAUUUUUGCACUCUGGGUUUAUCUUGUUUUGGUGUUUGAACGAUGUAUGAAGCAUUUAGAGUUCUAAACUGCAGAUAGCUUUUGGGUUUUGAUUCAAAGUUUUAGUCUUUUGCAAAUUCAUGAGUUCUAGAUUUAUGUGUUUUCUUCUAUUCUUUGAUGUACAUUUAUGAUCAAUUAAUAAGGCCUUCCCAGAUUAACCCUGGGAUCCUUGGUUAGAGUCCAUGUUGGAUUGCUCUGGCAUUUAUCUUUAGUAUCAUUUUCAUUGUUUUUCCUUCACAUGACAUGAUUUUACCUUUUUCUGUUUUCAGGACUUCGGUUUGUAGGGCUGUUCUUUGGUGGAAGAUAUGGGGAUUGAAGAUUUGGGAUUUGAGAAGGUCCAAGGACCAUUGGGUACUGCUAGUGAAGGAGAGAAUUCCGCCAAGGAAAAUGGGAAACUGGGGGAAGGGCCGGGUCAUAAAGAGCCCAUAAAAUUUGGCUCACAUGGUGAUGAAAUGGUUAAAAAGGAAGGGAAUGGGGUUGUGGCACCAAACUUCCCUAAAGAUGCAGUUGAUGAGUGGCCUGCCCCUAGGCAGAUCCAUUCCUUUUAUUUUGUCAGGCACCGGACAUAUGAUGAUCCUAAGUUAAAAGCCAAAAUUGAGCAGGCUAAUGUAGAAGUUCAGAAGAAGAAUCAGGCUCGAUCUCGAGUCCUUGAAACACUGAAUGCAAAGAGGGUGAGUUCAAGUCCAUUUCCCUUAUUAUUGAGAGUGCUGUUUUGAACAUAACAUACUCAUGUCUAUUUGUUUUGACAUCAUUGAUUCCUUACAGUAUUACAUGUGGAUAUAUGGCAUUAUAACAUUGAAACAUAGGCUCUCAUUUGCUGUUACUGAAAUAUGAUUAUUUUGCAAGAACUAGAAUUGAUUUUUUGCUAUGCUUAUCCUAUGUUUACUACUUUAUGCUAAUAAUAACCUGAAACAGAGGUCCUCAUCGUUGCUACUGAAAUAUGAUAAUUUUGCUGGAAUUCAUUGCUAUACUAAACAUAUACACACACACACAUUCUACUUUAUGCUAAUAUUCUACUAAUUAAUCUGAAAAUUUUAAGGAAAAGAAGGAUUGAAACAGUAUGAUUGCACGCGUAAUCACUAGUUGAACCAGUUUUUUUUUUAAUGGAAGACCAUUUAAGUGCCCCAAGAGAGACGAAACCAAUCAUUAUGUAAACAAGUUGCUAGUAAUUAUCAAAGCUGUAGAAGCUAGCAGAUCUAACUACCUAGAAAAUCAGAAACAUAUAGGAUAGUUUUUAUGGUUUUUCCAAUUGGUCUUCAUAAGUCAUAACAAGAUUUUCUGUAAGUUAUUGACAGUGCAGUCGUAAGUUUUUCUUUCGGCCCAUGUUGUAAACGGGUUGACAAAGGUAAUAGAUACAUGGUUAGCUAAGUAUGAGCUUCAGGAACUGGAACUUGAUUAUCAGCUGUUGUAAAAAUAUCACUUGAUUAUGAAUGCCUGUGCACACAUGCAUAUAUGUAUAAACAUUGUAUAUGAAGUAGCAUCACAUACAUAUCUAUGAUACCUAUAUAGUGAAGCCAUUCCUCUGAUUACUUGUGUCUUUGAAUUCUUCCACUUAUACAUAAAUAAUUUUUUUUGCCAAUGAGUUUGAAUUUUUUUAAUAGUAAAAUAGCUUACACAUUUUUGUUAUUAAUUUUUUUCUUUUCAAGGCAGGGAUAGGUUACAGUGUUACACCUUUACAGUAAUGUUCUUGCUGAUUAUAAUGUUUAUUAUUGUUCUGGAAAACGAUUGCCUCCAUGAUAAUGAUUAUUAUCCCUGAUAAUAACAAGUAAUGCAAUGAGAUAAAAGAAGGCUACUUUUGAUGUUUAUUGGUACGACGAAGUUUGUCGUUUUAUAUCAUUUUGGUUAUAAAUCGAGCACUAUUAUUUUAGAAUGUAGAAGCGCAAGCCUCUAAUUCACUCCUCUCUUUUCUCUCUAUCUUCUUUCUUCAGUCUGAGAGAUCUGAGUUAAUAGAGCAGAUUAAGGCUCUGAGAUCUGACAACUAUGAAAUUAGUAAAAUUGUGGGUGAGAAGUUUAAGGAGAUUGCGCCCCUACGUCAGGAUCUCAAAAAGGUCCGUUCUGCACAUGCUAACCACAAUGGUGGUUUGUGUUCAUCUGAGGUAGAGCUUGAUGCUCGGGUAAGUUUUAUUACUGAGCUUUGUUAUCUGCAAAUUCAUCUCCUAAUUGUUCUCCUGUGAAUCACUUGCCUUAUAUAUUACACUCUAAUGUUUAUAUUGUUGGAACAGAUCAAAGGCUUGCAGUAUAUCAUACAACAUGAGAGCAUUCCGUUGUCAGAGGAGAAGAAAAUUCUGAAAGAGAUCAAACAACUUGAAAACACACGUGGAGAAGUCAUUGCUAAUGCUGUUGUACGAGCCAAGAUUCAGGAUUCAGUGGUUCAUAUAAACGAAGAUGCCCUUGAAGUGCAGUACAAGGUAAGCAGACUUUUAACAUUUGUCUAUUUUUGAACCAUCUCUUGAUUCCUUUGCAUACUUUCUUUAUUAUGUAUAGUAUGCUAAUAACUUCCACAAUUAUCUGAUUGUAGCUUGUAGGUGAUGAUUUGAAUGGAGUAAAGAAAGAGCAACAAGCAGUUAGGUCCAAAAUUCAGCAACUUGAUGAUGCAAUUAAGGCCGUAGAUAAGCAAAUUUCAUCAAUACGGGAUGAGCUGAAGAUGGUAACUGAUAAGAGGGAUCAAGCACAACAGAGCAUUUAUACAUUUAGGCAGCAGCUGGAUCAGCAAGUAAGUGAACAUGAUUGUGUUGCAACAUCUCUUUCUCUCUCACAUCUCAUUUUCAUCCUUUCUCGACUGUACUCUAGAGUCGGUUCUUUCAUUUUUCUUUUUCUUUUAAGGACUUCUGUUGUUGUCCUAUGGAGAACUGUAUAUUAUUCUUGUCUCAGAAAAUCGUAAUUGCUUCACCAUAGUUUAAUCCAAAUCUCAAAAAGGUUUCCCUGCAUGAUGCAUAUUCCAUUGAGAAACAAAGAUUCCACUGUUAACAUAGUAUUAUUCCAACAGGACUAGUUACUUAUAUAUAGUUAAUCAGUUGGACAGUUGGACAUUGUACUGCUAAAAGUAUGUUUUGACUCUGUUAAGAGAAAUUAAAACAAAAUUCUUUAUAAUUUUACAUUACCUGUCUCCUAAAAACAAGCUCCUCUCUGUUCACUGGCUGUGUCCUUCUUAAUCCAAUUCCUCAGUAUUUUAAAUGCAUAAAUCUUCACAAGAGAUGUCCACCACCAAAUUAAUAUUGUAGCUUGGGUUGCAUGUAGUUUGUAUAAUCUCUAGACUUCUUAGUUGCUUACUUUAAGCACUGCUUCCUAGUUUCUCAUUUUGCAACUCAUCUUCUUAUUGCUUCUCCUUGAAUAUAUAUACAUUUUAUGAACUUGGAAGUACUGCUUCCUAGUUUCUCAUUUUGCAACUUGUCUUCUUAUUGCUUCUCCUUGAAUAUAUAUACAUUUUAUGAACUUGGAAGUACCUUUUGGUCCAAUUGAAUUUUUAUUCACUCCGGUCUCCUGUAGUACUUGAAAUUAAUGAAAAUAUAGGUCUGGUGGUAUAUAACUUCUGAUGUAGACCAUCUUGCAAUGUGAAAUUUUACAACCCGAAAAUGGACGAAUUGGGAUCCUCUAACUUUGCUUUCUUAAUGUUUUUUUCUCUCUCCCUUCACGUCUGAAGUUGCCGGUUUUUGUAUACCAUGUCUAAAUUUAUUAUAACAAUUAGUAAAGUUUAUCGUAGUGAGUUAAUUUGUUUGGACACAUGGUAGUCUGUACCUUAACCUAUUCUUUUAUCGAAUGCUCUCAAAUUUAAACAUCUGAUAUGAAGGGUGGAAUUAAAUGGCUAUAUUUUAUUCAAAAAGUAAUAUUCGCUCUCACAACUAAUUUUUACUGAUUUGCAGAAUGCGUCUUUUUACCUCAGCCGUAAUAUCUUGAACAAAGCGAGAGGUUUGGCUAUCAAUAGUGAUGUUAAAGCGCUUGAAGAGCUUUCUCAUGCAGAGGUUUUUAACAAGCACUCUGUACAUAUCAGCACUCAUUGUUAAAUGUAGUAGGCUAUUCUAAAGGUUUGAUAUAUUUGACAGGUUGAGAAAUUUAUGUCCCAGUGGAAUAGUAAAAAAGAUUUUAGGGAUGAUUAUGAGAAAAGAAUUUUGUCGUCUCUUGAUAGUCGGCAACUGAGUAGGGAUGGACGCAUAAGAAACCCAGAUGAGAAGCCAUUGGUGGUUCAUGAAGUGUCCGCACCCCUAGUAGUAGAGUCGGCAACAAAAGCUAAUGCAAAACAAGUCAAGGAAGAUGGCACGUCUGCUCCAUUAGAUAGUUUGCCUGUGCAGAAGGUUCAGAAAGAAGCCAAAAGUAAAGCAGUGCUUCCAAAAUCUACUGUAGAUGAAGACGAGGAGAUAUAUGGGCUUGAGAAGCCGAAAGAAAGUAAAGUUGAUGAAGCAAAGUUGAAGGAGAUGAAACGAGAAGAGGAAAUUGCUAAAGCUAAGCAGGCCAUGGAAAGGAAGAAGAAGAAGGCUGAGAAAGCUGCAGCUAAAGCAGAAAUUAAAGCUCAAAAAGAAGCUGAAAAGAAGCUCAAGGUAGCUAUUUAUUUGUUUUGUCUUUUGGUUUUGUUUUUUCUUGUGUUGGUUUUGCUUAUUUGUUACCAAGUUAGUGACACUUGCAUUUUGAACUCAGGACCGUGAAAAGAAGGCAAAGAAGAAGGCUACAUCAGCAACUGAAAGCAAUCCUGAUGAGGCAACGGAGCCAAUUGCUGAAGUUGCGGAGCCAGAAAAGGCAACUGAAAAUGCUGUAGUUCCAGUCCCUGCCAAGGAGAAGGUGCAAAAAGAUAAAACUAUCAGGAAUAGGGGUCGUCCCAGAGGUCCUGACUCACUUCCGAAAGUUAUCCUGAAGCGGAAGAAGAGUAAUAAUUAUUGGGUUUGGGCUGCUCCUGCAGCUUUGUUAGUUCUGGUGUUUCUAGCACUCGGUUACUUCUAUCUUCUGUGAGGAAGGUAAAACAGGAACUGAGGUAGAGGAAGUGUUGAGAACUAAAGCUUUCUACUUGGUGAGUUUGCAAGCGAAAAAAGUCCCAAUCUUUUAGUUAAGUUUUCCUGUUCCUUGUAUCCUGUGUGCUAGGAUUGACCCGGAAGUCAUAACGUUGAUGGUAGGCUGGUAGCUCAGUCCAAAGUAUCUUUCAGUGGAGGAGACAUGCUUUUUGUAUGGUUUAUGUAAUUUCAAAUUUUGACUGUCCGUUUCCGUUAAAGUUGAUCUCAAAACCCUACUGUGAUCUUAUACAACUUCACAUUGUUUUUCUAUAUUUCAUCUUUAUAUUACCAUUUAGUAAACAACCCAAUCUUUGAAGAAGAAUUGAAGCACCAAAUUUGGCCCUUUUUAUUAAAUGGAAAUACAAAUUUAUAGAUUCAAUAAGCUGUGGGAACAUGUCAUUUGUAUCUUUUGGAUCAGAAAUCAAGAACGCGGAGGGUGUCGUCUCUAACCUGGCGCCCUCUCCUCCCAGAAAAGAAUCCUGCAAAACCCUACAAGCAAAGAGAUACAUCAGUCAACAUAAGGACAGCAAAGUCAAGAUAUUGAAAAUUUCAAAAAAAAAAAAAGUCAAGAUAUUGAAGUAGUAUGGAAAACUAUGACAAGAUCGGUGGAGACAUGCUGACAUUGUGCAGCUCAGUUUGUCAAAACCGGUGUGCUAACAUAAGAGUUCUCGUACCAAAAAAAAAAAAAACAUAAGAGUUCACUUAACAAAGCAACUGCGCGGCCAGCCUCGACCCUUGAAGAUUUCUGCACCUGUCUAUCAGUGAAUGAAGUUAGUUUAGAAUGAAAUUGUGUUUGGUAUACAUAGAAAUGUUUGUUAAGACUGUAACUAUUAUACAGGCAAUAUGGUAAAUUUUGCUGUGAUUCUUUUUGACAGCUCCACAAUGACUAUGUUGUUAUAAUGGUAGACAAAGCUAGUGCCUGGUUCCAUAUUUCUUUGAGCUUUGAUAACACCCUUACCAUUGGAAAGUACUGCUCAUAGUCAAUUUGUUAGGUCUAGAACGAUUAGAUAGUCAAACCAAAGACUAUCAUACGGUUCAGGAAGUAUCGACGUGGGACUAAAGAUAGUGUUGAGACUUGACUCACUUGAGAUAAGAGAUAAGAUAGAAUUUUCGUUUCUAUAGAACGGAGAGCGGGUUGAUCAUGCUAGCUAACUAGUCUUUAAAGCUUAAGAACAUUCAUUUAUAGAAUAUUUGCAAACUAUUUUCGAGUUUAGAAAAUAAAUGGGAUCCUCAGUAUGGCUGCUUCUGUUCUACUUCUUCAUUUCCAUGACCUUACACCACCUUGUUGCUGAUGACAUAUUCAAAGGUGACGUCUCAUGCACUUCCGCAGCUGAAUUUUGUUGGAGCUGUGCCGGUACGAGUAACUACACUAAUGGCAGCAUCUACCAACAAAACCUCAUCAGUCUUCUCUCCUCCUUUUCCAACAUUUCCCAAAACCAAGCCAACUAUGGCUUUCACAACUCUUCUCUCGGACAAGGCUCCAACAAAGUGAAUGCCAUUGCGUUGUGCAGAGGAGACCGCGGACUCGAAGAGUGUAGCACCUGCCUCAGAGAGUCCACACAGUCUCUCCUGCGAAACUGUUCAUAUAAAAGGGAAGCAAUCUUUUGGGCAGAGCCUUGCAUGGUACGGUACUCGCAAGACUUGAUAUUUGGUAUAGAGGAUGAGGAGCCUCAUAUAUAUCUGCCCAGCCCGAACAACGCAUUAAACCCGGAAGCGUACGGGCUGGUGCUUAACCCCUUGUUGGAAAUCUUAAUUGAAAAAGCUGCUUCAGGGGAUUCUAAUCAAAAAUAUGCAGCAGGACAUAAAACUGUUCCGGGAUACGAAACGAUAUAUGCACAUGCGCAGUGCACUCCAGACUUAGACAAAGUCAUUUGCAGCGAUUGCCUUAAGAAUUGCACCUCUGCUCUUCCAUCAUGCUGCAGUGGAAAGUCAGGAACAAGAGUUCUUAAACCAAGUUGCAAUAUUAGGUUUGAGUACAAUCUUUUCUACAAGUCUACGGUCGAUAAAGAAGUAGAUAUUUCAGCUGCGGCUCCAGCUCCAGCUACAACAACAACUUCAGAAACUCCUGCUCCACUUCCACCUAGGCAAGGUACACACACGAAAACACAUAAUAUUAUGUUCUUAUUAUGCUGUGUUUAUGUGAGGAGGCCAUCUUAUCUUAGAAAAAGUACAUUCAUCCUCACUCGAUCGAUCCAGUAAUCAUAAGUACACAAGUGCCUCAAUUUUUUUUGACGUGAAUAGUGGAAUGAUCCCUAUCCCCCCCUUCUGAUUUUCUGCAGGAAAGAAGAAUAACACAAAAAAUCAUAUCAUCAUUAUAGUUGUGGUUGUGAUUGCUUUUGUGUCUUUGCUUCUUGGUGGCUUGUGCAUUUUCAAAAGAGACAAGAAGCCAAGGGUAAAACUUGACGGUAAGUAAGUUGAACUGUCUCUAGUGUUGGAUGAUUCAUCUGUGCAUAUAUAGUCCGGUGCUUUCAAACGACUUCUUUUUCUUUCUUUUUUUCAAGUUAUACCUUCAGAUGAUAGUUUGGAAGAUAUUAGCUUGGUGGAAUCGUUACAAUAUGACUUUGAAGACAUAAGAUCUGCAACGAAUGACUUCUCUGAUGAAAAUAAGCUUGGACAAGGUGGAUUUGGAGCUGUUUACAAGGUAACAAAACUCAGCUAUUUAAUUUUUCAAUUGCAAUUGUUCUAGAGCAAAUUUGUUAACUUUUGAAGGGGUAGAAACUAUGUUUGCUGUUGUACACUAUAUGAUUUGAAAACUAUUUCAAUUUUCAACAGAUAAUUGUCUUCUUUAAUCAUUUUAUUUUUAUUUCAUAACUUCCUUUUCAGGGUAGGCUAUAUAAUGGACAAUAUAUAGCUGUAAAAAGAUUGUCUAAGAGUUCUGAACAGGGUGAUCGUGAAUUUAAAAAUGAGGUAAUGUUGGUUGCUCAACUGCAACACCGGAACUUAGUAAGGAUAUUAGGCUUUUGCUUAAAAGGAGAAGAAAGGCUCCUCAUUUACGAAUAUAUACCUAAUACAAGUCUCGAUCACUUCAUUUUUGGUAUGGUAACCUCUGCCUCCUCAAUAUAUUUCAUAGUACUUAUAAUUUCUUCUUUAUUUGAUAUGCAUAGCACAAAACAAUUGCGCACAUUAAUUCAUCCAUAUGGUCAAAAUUUCUUUUAGAUCCAAUCAAUUAUGGAUAUUUGGAUUGGGAAACACGUUACAAGAUCAUAGGGGGAAUUGUUCGUGGUCUUCUUUACCUUCAUGAAGAUUCUCGACUUCGAAUUAUUCACCGCGAUCUCAAAGCUAGCAACAUUUUGUUGGAUGAAAAUAUGAACCCCAAAAUUGCAGAUUUUGGGAUGGCAAGGUUGUUUGUCAUGGAUCAAACCCAAGGAGAUACAAAGACCAUCGUUGGGACCUUGUAAGUAACCUUGCAACUCUAAAUUGUAGUUUCCGCUUGUAACAACCAAAAUACUUUCAUUUCUGAUUUGGAUGUAAUCAUACAGUGGGUACAUGGCACCGGAAUAUGCAAGUCAAGGGCGGUUUUCUGUCAAGUCAGAUGUGUUCAGUUUUGGUGUGUUACUUCUCGAAAUGAUUAUUGGCAAGAAGAGUUCUAAUUUCCAGAAUGGUGAGGAUGAAGAUGACCUUGUAAGCUAUGUGAGUAAGAAUAUAUAAUCAACUUGUUACAUUACUUGUUCAUAAGUUUCUAGCUUUUUCCUAAAUAUUUUGUGAAUUUUCGUAGGUAUGGAGAAAUUGGAGGGAUGAUACAAUUUCAAAUAUCAUAGAUCCCAUGUUAACAACAGGCUCAAGAUCUGAAAUAAUCAGAUGCAUCCACAUUGGUUUGUUAUGUAUCCAAGAAAAUGUGAAUGACAGACCAACCAUGACUUCAGUUGCUUCCAUGCUGAGUAGUCAUUCCCUCUCACUCCCAGUACCUCCACGACCUGGACAUUAUUGGCAUUAUAACACUAAUUCAGACACAUCCGGGUCGGAGUUCAAACUCACUGAGACGUCUGAGAGAUCUGAAAGUUCUGUGUUUGUGUCAAGAAGCGUGGUUUCAGAUAUUACUGAAAUAUAUCCACGCUAGUGUGCCCAAGUAUUCUGUGUAUAUGUAUCAACUGAGGUGGAGGUCAGAUAGAUAAGGACGAUGUCCGUUUAUAUCUUAUGUGGUUUUCUCUACUAUUGAACAAACGACCAAUUUGAUUUUUUCUUUCUUUCUAGUUACUGGUUAUUUGGUAACUAGGUCAUUUUAUAUAUUGUACAGUACUACCUUCUAGUUCCAUCUUUGUAUAGCUUGUCUCUGUUUUUUCUAUUUUUUCUUUUUUGCUGCCCUUUGUAUACUCUAGCUCUUCUGAAUCCAUUGACUAGAACCAGUAUAAUUAAAAUCCAUUGAAACAUCAAAAACCAAUCAGAGCAGAAAUAUCGCUUCAAAGUGAAUCCUAUGACUAAAUCCGAUGAAAUAUAUACUUAUUUCCUAGUAAUAUCCACGUCCACGGACGUCAAGAACAAAUUCCACCGUACCCAUGACUCCCUGAUCACCUGGUCUUGUGUAGACUGUUGGUAAACGUACAAAAUGUAGCAUACAACUGGCCUGGUCCUGCGUUUCUUCGAAGCUUUCAUAACAUUAUUCUACCAUUUCAAUCAUUUUCACGAAGGAAAAUAAGACCCUUCACACUGUGCAUAGUCAUUUUAUUUGAUUUUAGUGAUAGAAUUGGUCAAUAUUGUACCACAAACCACAUACAAUCCUUCAACCCAAGUCAGAAAAAGACAUAUUACUAGGGCCACAGGAAGGAUUGAGAUAGAGAGAAGUUUCAAUGUAGACUUGUCAGUUGAUGAUGAAUGCAUUGCUAGCUAACCUAAACUUUAAAGCUCAGAACAGUUCAUGAAAAUCCGUAGAAUCAGUUUGAGUUUAAUUUUUACUUGAGCAAAUUAUCAUGGCUUCCUCAAUAUGGCUGCUUCUUCUUUUCUUUAUCGUUCCUUUAGUCUUAGACCAGCUUGUUGCUCCUACCAUAGCCCAAGAUGACGGUCUAUGCACUUAUAGAGCUGAAUUCUGCUGGAAAUGUUCCGAUAUCGGAAACUAUGCUAAUGGCAGCAUCUACCAACAAAACCUCAACAGCCUCCUCUCCUCAUUCUCCUCCAAUCAGUCCAACUCUGGCUUUUACAACGCUUCUCUUGGAGAAGACGCCAACAAAGUGUACGCAAUUGCAUUAUGCAGAGGAGAUCUAGGACCUGACAGAUGUGGUACCUGUGUCAGCAACUCUGCUGAGAUUAUCAUGCGAAAUUGCUCGCAGGAAAAGGAGGCAAUCUUAUGGUCCGAGGAUUGCAUGUUGCGUUACUCGCAAAGGUUAAUAUUUGGUAUUGAGGAAGAGGACCCUGUCAAGCCUGUGCCUAGCCCAAACUACGUAUCAAACGCGGAAGCAUUCAACCUGGUGCUGAACUCCGUUUUGGAUAAUUUAACUGAGAGAGCUGCUAAUUUAGAUAAUUCUGGUAAAAAAUAUGCAGCGGGACAUGCAACUGUUACGGGAGGUAAUGAAACGAUAUAUGCACUUGUGCAAUGUACUCCGGAUAUAGACAAAGGAAAUUGCAGUACAUGCCUUAAGAAAUGCAUCUCUGCUAUUCCAACAUGUUGCGGUAGAAGGCAAGGAGCUAGAAUUCUUAGACCAAGCUGUAAUUUGAGGUAUGAGGCCAAUCAAUUCUAUGAGUCUACAGCUGAUACAAUAGUAGAUGUUUCAGCUCAGGUUACUCCAGCAACUCCGGAAACUCCAGCUCCAGUUCCAGAUCAAGGUAUGUUACCCCAAGCAUGCUCUCGUACACUCACAGUAUCUGUUAUAUCAUCUAUGCUACAUGAAUUCAAUUAAACUAAGCUAGAAAUUGCCUAGAUUUGUGUGGACCGCGAGUCGUCUCUAAAAGUCUAUGUUCUUGUUUUAUUCAGGACAGAAGAGUAACACGAAAAAAACUAUCAUCAUCGUUGUUGUGGCUGUUGUUGCUUUUGUAACUAUGCUUCUCGGUGGCAUAUGCAUUUUCUUACGAGUCAAGCAACAAAGGGUAAAACUUGGAAAAAGGGUACCACUUGAAGGUAAUUAAUUAAGUUAAGUCGUCUAGAAUUUCGAAAAUGUAUGUGUAUAUAACUUUAAUAUAUUCAUACAAAGUUAUAUUUAAGUUGUACCUUUUUCAGAUCAUGAUUCUUCUCAAGAAGUUAGUUUCGCGGAUUCAUUACAAUAUGAUUUUGAAAUUAUAAGAGCUGCAACAGAUGAUUUUUCUGAUGAAAAUAAGCUUGGACAAGGUGGAUUUGGAGCUGUUUACAAGGUAAAAAAAAUUGCUUUGGAGCUGUUUACCAUAGUAAGAUUCUUUCCUUUUUCUUAUAACACAGUUUUUUGUUUCAUUAAACUUACUUCCAGGGUAUGCUGUUGAACGGACAAUAUAUUGCCGUGAAAAGGCUCUCCAAGAGUUCUGAACAGGGUGAUCGUGAAUUUAAAAAUGAAGCCAUGUUGCUUGCUCAACUGCAACACCGGAACUUAGAAGGCUAUUAGGCUUUUGCUUAAAAGGAGAAGAAAGGCUCCUCAUUUACGAAUAUAUACCUAACACAAGUCUGAAUCACUUCCUUUUUGGUAUGGUAACCUCUUCUCAGUAUAUUUCAUAGUUCUUUCUUAUAGAUUUUACAUUACAACACCAGAGCAUACUACAUUAAUUUGUCUAACAAAUUAAAUUGCUUUUAGAUCCCAUCAAUUAUGGAUAUUUGGAUUGGGAAACACGUUACAAGAUCAUAGGAGGAAUUGUUCGUGGUCUUCUUUACCUCCAUGAAGAUUCUCGACUUCGAAUUAUUCAUCGCGAUCUCAAACCUAGCAACAUUCUGCUAGGUGAGGAUAUGAAUCCUAAAAUUGCAGAUUUUGGUAUGGCAAGAUUGUUUGUUAUGGAUCAAACUCAAGGAGAUACAAAGACUAUUGUGGGGACCUAGUAAGUAAACAUGGCACUCUUACUUUUGUUUUGUUCGUCUUAGAACCAAAAUAAUUGUGUAUUUAAUAUGAUGUAAUCAUGUAGUGGAUAUAUGGCGCCAGAAUAUGCAAUGCAAGGGCGUUUUUCUGUCAAAUCGGAUAUCUUUAGUUUUGGCGUGAUAGUUGUUGAGAUAGUUAGUGGUAAGAAAAUUGGUACCUUUUGAAAUGGUGAAAAUGAAGAGGACCUUCUAAGCUAUGUGAGUAAAAAUCUACAAUUAAAUGUCCAUAUAUUUCUCUGUUAUUUCUCCAAAUGAAAAGCGUAAUAGGUAAUGUUUUAUUGGUUGCGUAAUGUCUUAUAUAUUUUUGUAAUCUUUGUAGGUCUGGAGAAAUUGGAGGGACGACACAAUUCCAAAUAUCAUAGAUCCCAAGUUGACAACAGGCUCAAGAAAUGAAAUGAUCAAAUGCAUCCACAUUGGUUUACUAUGUGUCCAAGAAAAUGUGAAUGACAGACCAACCAUGGCUUCAAUUGUUUCCAUGCUGAACAGUGAGUCCCUCACACUCUCAGUACCUUCAAAACCUGCAUAUUAUUGGCAAUACAACUCUAAAUCAGACACAGAGACGUUUGGUACAUCGGAAAGCUCUAUAUAUGUGUCAAAAAAUGAGGUUGCAAAUAUUACCGAACCAUAUCCACGCUAGGGAACAAGUAGUCAAAUUUAAUUACUUUUUGGAGAUCACCAUAUUUGUUUAAGUGAGCUUUACUAAGUUGCUUCCAUCACAAUAAGAGAAGGGUCUGUAAUGAUUUCAGCAGAGUUAAGGUUACAAAUGAUUAAUUUUGAUGUUUACCUAUAGUUUUUUAUAUAUUGUUUUUCUUAGUUUACCUAACAUAUAUGUCCGUGAAAUUUAAACUCAUGUUAUUUAAGAGGUUCUUAUUUUAGAAAAAAAUUCUUAACGCCAGCUUUUACCAACUUUGGUUGACGUUUAUGGGAAAUUUUAUGGUAUCUACUCGUAUGUGAUACCUACAUUUACAAAUGUGACAACAUAUUUAUAGUCAAAGUGGUAAUGCUGAGUCGUAUUGUUUGUAAUCUUGUUCUAAUAAUUAUAAUUACAAAAUGUACAACCAUUUUACAACUUUUUGAACAAAUUGUUCUCAUAGUUGUAAUUUUGUUUAACUUCAUGUAAAUAGUGUAAAUAAAUUUGGUAAAUUUGUUCUCAAUGUUAUAAUUUGAUUCAUAACAUUAUAACUUUUGUUCAAGUACGUACAUGUAAAAUAAAAGUAAGAUAUAUGUCCCAUACCAUAGCUUGUCUCAAGGUUUAUAUCAUCAAAUGAUAUUUCAUAUACUACAACUACUAUAGAGCAAAAACAAGUUAAUUGUUAAACACAAAAACUCAUUGGAUCCUUAUCUUAGAAUCUUGGUUCCGCCCCUGAAUAGAGUUGAUGAUUAUCUUAUGCAUUAUGUUUGAUAAAUAUUGAAUUGCAACCUAUUCAUAUGGAGAGAAGACUGAGAUCGAUUAAAUUGAAAUAUAAAACUCAAAUAACCAAAAUCCAAAAAGUUACAACAAUAAUAAUGUCUCACAACCACUUCCACAGUUCCGUAAAUCUAAGCAAACAAUCCUCUUGAAAGAAAAAAAUACAAACAAUUUUAGAUUUGAUGUAGAAGAAAAGAAAAACAAACAAUCUAAGAAAUAGAUCAAUCAAAUUAACGUAGUAAUUGCACAUGCGAAACCUCAACGAGAUCGUCGAGAAGUUCUAUCUUUUAGUCCUCAUGCAAAUCCUUCAGUCGUCGGAGCCAAAGAGACCACCUUCGCCAAAGAUAUCACCAAGAUCUCCAUCCUCUUCCUCUUCAUCUUCAACCUUCUCUUCCUUCUUCUGCUCGGCUGAAGCAAUAUCAGCAGCACCUGCAUUACCGGCUGCGGGUGCGACACCAGCAACUGCGCCGCCAGAAGAAACAACAGAUGCCAACUUUUCUCUCCCGGAGGCAACUACUUCGUUGAUAUCUUUAUAUUUCAUUUGGGACAACAGCAACUCGAUCCUAUCAUUAUCGGCUUCGGCUCCGACAGACCCGAGAAUCUUCUUCACAUCACCAGCAGUGGGACUGGUGUUCCCUCCCAGAAUAGCCAGCAUAUAAGCAGCAAUCACCUUCAUAUCUUCUAAUUAGCAAUGGGGCUUCUUCAACAGGGGGAUUAGGGCAAAUUAAGUUGGGGAUUAUUGUAAGGGCGGGGUGGUUUAUAUAGAGUUUGAGAAACGUGGAGACCGAGUUAUAUAUGGAAAAGGAAUCCUAAUGCUUUAUGGAAAUUCAAGUGGUGAUUAUGGUAGGUCUGUACUUCUUAUGGUAUCUUAAGGUACUAUGUGGGAUUCAAGGUAACCGGGUGCUACAAGGAAAUACCAUAAGAUUUUGUUCUAUUCCUAUAAGGAGUAGAAUUAGAUAGGCUUUGACCAAAGAAAAGAAUUUUAUAGGUUACAUCUUUUAGCAUGGUCUAGACUAUUAUAUCCUCUGUCAAUUAACACACAACAUUAUAACUUUGCUCCCAAUUAAGGAGUAAGAGAGGCGAGAAAUUUUGCACUUGAGCAAUUGAGUCGUCCCCCGUCUGCGUUGAAUAGCGAGAGCUUAAGGAGUCGCCCCAAUUUUGGGGCCGCUAUGUAACACGGUGUGGAGAGGAUACUGAGCUUCCGGAAGCUCAUUAAAUUGAUUCCAUGAUUCUCCCAAACAUAGGACUUGUCUUAUUUUCUUAUGUUAGUUCAGUUCAAUCCAAACCCAUGUACCAAACGUGCACUUAGCGUACCAAAGUGAAUUGUUUUAGAGCUUGCUAUACAGAGAUUCAGUGCAUGUUUGGUACCCAGUACUGGGUUAGACCUCCUUAAUUCUUAAGACUAUCCUGGACUAGUGUGGACUGCCUUAAAUUGUACUAAUACUGGGUCACGUUUGGUGUUGCAUGGGAUUAGGAAAAAAAAGUUCUAAAUUAGAGAUGUCUCAUGUUUGGUGAUGCAUUGGACUGGACUACUCUAACAUAACAAUCUAACAUCUAACAAUCUUGUUAUUGAAAUUUUGACAUGAAAUCCAAAAAAAAAAAAAAAAAAGUAGUGAUCAAGCAUACAUCUUUAUCAAAUGAGUAAUAUUAAGCAAAGGAAACAUAGAAACAAGUAUGAGAGCAUGGCAUCUGACCUCAUCCCCUUUUCGUUGAAGCUGCAAAAGCUCUUGACAGUAUGAAAGGCACUCGGCAUGGUACAUAGCAGCUAACUCUUUGAUCAAGGACUUUCUUCUAAUAAUGCCAAUCACUUCAAAGAAAAACAGACAAAGGUUAGAGUCAUGAAAAUGUUCAUUGUAUGUCGCACAAAAUCUUCUCUGAAGUAGUUACUGGGAAAUAUCAUUAAUUGGGUUUGAAGACUAAAGUUUCAAAUCAGUUUGCAUACCGCGUGUUCCAUCCUUUAUAUCAAACCCUAUUAUAUUUGAGAAUCAAAUUACAGUGAUAUAGAUGUAGCCAUAAAAUUUAAAAUUAGUUAAUGUAAACAAAAAGAUGUCCAUCUUCUGCUUCCUAUCUCACAUAGACAUUACCUUUAGCCACAAUGCUAUUUAGAUUAUGAUGAAUGCAAUCUAGAGCCUAAGACAAAAUUCGAAAGGAGACGAUACAAUUAUUCACCUAUCCCAAGUCUCAUUUAUCUUUUUAACCAUUGGAUUUUCACAAUGUGAAAAAUCUCCUAUAGAAAGUCAAGUCCUUGAUACACCCACAAGACAUCAGACCCCAAAUCCUAUCUCAAUUGUGAAAAAUUUCACAUCUUUCAACAAAUCCAGAAACGAAAACACAGUCAAAGCCGUAAAUGAGAGAGAGAGAGAGAGAGAGAGAGAGUUACUUCGGCUGGGAUCGAAUGGAGGAUCAGGAACGGGAGGAUCAUCGGUUUGAGUGGAGGGUGGUGGCUCAUCAGAAGGAAGAGCUUCUUCUUCUUCUUGAUCUGUGUCUGCUUCUGCUUCUGGUUCAGAUUCUCCUUCUCCUUCUUCUUCUUCUUCUUCGUCUUCUUCUUCUUGCUGGGAUGAUUCUUCUUCUUCUUCUUCUUGUUGCUGGGUGCUUCGGGGUGUAACAGAGAGGAGGUGAAGAAGAAGAGAGAAGAGUUGUGGAGGAAGCGAUGCGAACUGAGAGAGGUUAGUGAAGUCUUAGCCAAGGGCCUCUCAUCGGAGUACCCACGCUAACACCGGCUAAGGAGGCCAAAUCAGAAAACAGGUCCAAAUUAAACCCGUUAAUAUUAGUACCGAGAAAACAUGAGAUUAAUCUUGUUUCACUCCUUAUUUAACCUCCUUAAGUAAUACCGGGUUCCUAACGUACCCUCAUAGUCUUCUCAUAGUCUUAUUUGAGGUACCAUUUGCAAAAUUUUCCAUUAGUUAAUUAAUAUGUCAUGUACUUGACUCCAAUAUGGACGGUUUUUAUAAUUCAUGUAGGCCUUGAAAAAUGCCAGGAAUUAUCGCACUUCCAAUUUACUUCCAAAUAUCAUAGAUCCAGACCAACAAGUGCGGUGUUAGAAAUAACUUUGUACUAAGAGAAAAGGUUAAAUUUUGUUCCAUCCAAGCUUUUCCUGUCUUUCAAAAUCUAGGAGCAUCCCGGAAAGAACCUCACACAGAAUGCGAUAAAAUCUAAUACAGUAAUACUUAAAGAGAAAAUAAACAAUAGUAGUGAAAUUAUAGGAAUCCUGAUUCUUGAUAAACAAAAUUUCUCCAACAGAAAGCACAAGAUAGAACAUGAUAAAAAUAUAUUGCGCAAAAUAUCCGGUACCAAAACAGAACCAAAUAAACAGAACAUCUAAAAUGUAAAAAUCAACCCUACUUCUCCUUGGAGGCUGUUGCGGCAGCUUGUCCUCUGAGACGACCAGUUCUCCUGGCAGCAAUCAGACCAACCUUCUGCCCAGGAGGAGCAUCACGCCUGACUGUGCUAGCAUGACCAAUAUGCUGGUGGUUACCUCCUCCAUGAGGAUGCUCAACAGGAUUCAUAGCCACACCACGCACCUUAGGCCAGCAGUUCCUCUUCACUCUGAACUUGUGGUAAGCAUUACCGGCCUUGAGCAUAGGCUUCUCAGUUCUGCCUCCACCUGCAACUUGACCAAUCAUAGCACGGCACCCACUUGGAACAAUCUUCUUGGCACCAGAAGGAAGCUUGAUUCUACAAGAAUCAAUACAAACAAAAAAACAAUUAACUACUAUGUUUGGAAACAUCAUAUUAAUAUACAAACAAAGCUAGGAUGUUUAAACUCAAAGCACGGUAGAUGAGCUCAGAUAAGCAGCAAGCAUAUCACCCAAUACAACAUGUGACACUAUCAUCAUACAGAUCCAUCACAACACAAAAGCUUUUUCGAUCAUCAGCCAGUUGAAAAGUAAGUCCUUAUAAGGACCCUAAAUUUAUAUACAGUAACCAACCAAGAUCAUCCAAGCAGUGAUUAACAACCAAGAACAUAAAAAUUUGAUCUUUACUGGCAAGUGUCAACUUGAAUUAGAUGCAAUUAAAAUGCUAUACAACAAACAACUCAUCUAGAAAGCAGAUUACUAACUAAACACCAAUAACAAUGCAAAAGCUUAUACAUACAGUGAGAUUGUGAACUCUACAUUCUUUUGACAAAGCCUAUAAAAUAAUUCAGAAUCUCACCUUCGAAAAAUCUAUUCUUUGCUAGUAAUUUCUAAAAUCAACCAAAUAGUGAGAUUGUGAACUCUGCGACAGACUUUGAAAAUCGCAAAAUCUAAUAUUUAACACUAAAAGUGUGAACGAAAUAGAACCGCACCAAAUCCAACACAUCCACUAGCUACUACACACGAAUCUGAUGCAUCACCAUGAUCAUAUAAUCGGAAAUUAUCAAAUAACAUUCAAACAGACCGAAUCAAUCCAAGAAAAUUUCAAUAGAAUCAGAAACAAACCUCGAGGUAUCAUUAUCAGGGUUGUGACUGAUAACCACAGCAUAAUCCCCAGACGCCCUAGCUAGGGUUCCGCGGUCCCCAACAUGAUGCUCCACGUUACACACCACAGCUCCCUCGGGAAUAGAUCUGAUCGGCAGCACAUUUCCGACGACCAAAUUGGCCUUCUUACCGCAGUAAAUAAACUGGCCGGUGUAAAUGCCCUCGGCGGCGACGAACAGCUCGUUCUGCUUCUUGUAGCGGAAAGGAUGACGGAAGCUGACGCGAGCGAGCGGCGCACCGCGUCCGGGGUCGUGGAUGAUGUCGGUGACGACGCCCUUGAGGUAGCCGUUGCGCUCGCCGAAGUCGAGGGAGCGGAAGCGGGCGGGGCCUUUGCGGUGGUGGGUGUGGGACUUGAAGACGGAACCCGCACCCUUACGUUGAGCUCUGAUGACGCGUCCCAUUGGUGGCGGAAGAGCUAGGGUUUUGCUCUCUCUGUAGUGAAAGAGUAACAGGGGGGCGGCACUCUCUGAAAACCUAAUGGGUGUGUGGGUUUUAUAUGUGGCGACGAUGAGUUGAGUAAGGGUUAUAUGGGCCUUGGGUUAUCUGGGUUUGAAAUGGGCUUUCAUGAGCUUGACUGGGACUGAUAGCACGUUCAAAGCCCAAUUUCUUUUCCCCUGCAUGCUUUUUUUUUGUUGGAACAGUUUAUUUAUUUAUUCCUUUUCCCCUAUUUAUUUUUUGUUGUUUUCUUUUUUCUUUUUCUGUUUUUUUUAUAAAUAAAUAAAAUAAAAUAAUAUAUACAUUUUGAAUCUCAGUGUUGCCCUGUUAACGAACCAGAUCAUUAACGAAUCGGAUCUACCUAAAUCUAUACCCGAUCCGUUUAACAGAUCCAGAUUUUUAACUGUGUGUUUGGAUGCGGGUGAAUUCCUGGGAAUUUAAUAAAAAAUGAGGAAUUCCCAAUUUCUUUGACUCUUUCCACCGUUUGGAUUAUUAUCUCGUGAAAUUUGCAAAUUCCACGAGAAAAUAAUCGUGGAAUUUAAGAGCUUGAAUUCCUCACAAAAUUGACGUCAUUUGUCAAUUCCCUAAACCCUAAUUCAUGGAAUUGUAAUUUUCAUGACUUUGAAAUUUCUGUGGAAAUUGGAAUUGUCUCAUCCAAACACAACAUAAUGAAUCAACAGAUUAAAGUUUCAAUCCAAACUUGUUUAAGAGAGCAUCUUUAGCAAUGCUAGUCAUUUUCUAAUCAAAUUUUAGCUAAAAUAGCUAAAAAGUCAUUUUGGCUAGUCACUUAGAAAUCUCUCUACACCAGUACUCUGUAUUUCAACUAAAGUUUGAUUUAUAUUACAGAUCAAAUAAAGAAAAAUUAAUUUAAAUGUGUUUUAAUAAUACAUAAAAUGACUUAAAAGGAAUAUUUUGAAUUAAUAUAAAUUAUAGACAGUCUCAUCUCGCUAGCUAUAUUUAGCUAACGAGAUAGCUAAAAGUUAUAAUAGCUAAACUUUGGCUACUAUGCUGGAGCUCCUAAAAUAGCCAAAAAGUUAAAAAUAGAGAGUCUGAUAAAGUUGCUUUAAACACCAUAGAUCCAGUUCUCUCAACAAUUGUGGAGACUUCAGACCAAUGUCAUGGUGUGGAUGGUUACUUCAGACCAAUUCAGACUUCAGACUUCAGCUUUUAGAUCUAACUCUUUUUGCAUGCGCCAAUAUAAGUGACCUAGAAUGAAGCCUCAUUAGAGCACCAAUUAGCUUCAUAUUUUGUGUAUGGUUGCUCAUCAGUAGAGCUCAUUUAGGCCUCAUCAUUUGGCUCUUCGGCUCUAGCCCGCCCUAAAACCCGCCCUACCCUCUAGGGCUGAAGCCUUACCAGGCCCUCCAUUAGGGCGGGCCGGCCCUAGCCCUUCUCAAAUAGGGUAGGGUAAGGGUCAAGCAAAUGAAACCCAGCCCGGCCCUAAAAGUCCGCCCUAUAGGCCCUAAAGAUUUCUUAUUUUUUCUAUUGUUUUAAUAUGUGUCUCAUAUUUUUUAGAUAUAAUACAACUAAUCUUCUUUAUUUGUAAUUGAUUUUCUAACUUUAUUUAUUUGAUUUUCUUUUGCUUCAUUGAAUAACGGUUGUAUUUUGAUGAUUUAGAUUUUAGAGAGAUAGUUCAUGAGAUAUAUGUGUAUAACCUCUUUGAUUAAUAUUUAUAUAUAGAUGUCCUAAGUUAAGUAUAAUGUAUAUGCAUGUAUGUUAAAUAUGACUACAAAAUAUGGUGUAUUACAUAUAAGUAAUAUAAUCAUUGAGGAUUAAACAAAGUUGUAAGAAAAAUAAAAGAAAAAAAUGAACUAGCCCAUCUCGGCCUUAUUUAGCCCUAUUUAAAAUACCAUUAAGGCGUAUUCAAGCCUCGGUCCUACCUUACCCGGUCCUAAAUUUUGUUGACUUUGACCGAGCCCUACCCGACUUUACCCUAAGCCCUAAAUUUUAGGGUAGGGCCGGCCCUAGCCCGGCCCAUGAUGACCCCUAAGCUCAUGUAUUGAAAUGUUAAACCUUUAUUUUUCCUUUCUCUCUAGUUUGCUCUAUCAGUUUGUUUUUAUUCUUUCUAAUUUUUGUGUUGCACUUUAUGGUUUUUGCCUUUCUUUAAUUAAUGACAUUUCUGUUUCAUAAAGUAAAAAAAAGAGCACGAGUAGCAACUCAACUACUUCCCCAAUUCACACAGUUUACCUAUUUCUAUCAUUUUCAUAUAGAACCAACAUAAUUUAUGUUAAAAUCCAAAAACUAGUCUACUCAAUUGCCUAAUCUAGGCUCUACAUGAAUCUGCCAAUGAUCCUAGUCGAUUUAUGAAAAAUACACACAGUCCUCUAUCUUUGACAUAUGAUUUUUUAUUUUCUUCUUAUCCUCCACGAUGAUCAAUAUUUGGUGAUUACAUUUUCCAAAUCAUUUUAAUUGCCUCCAAUAUUUAACCUGUACCUUGCUAAUGCUAUGGAAAAUUGUUGCAGUGAUAGAAUGACCUCAAUAGAAUACCAAAAACAACUGUUGCUAGUAAUCAACAUAUAUGGUGAUGUUAUAAAUAAAAGCAGGUCAACAAGUGGUGAACAUGAAGAACCUAAGGAAUAAAUUAAAGGUCUUUUCUCAUUUGUUUUAAGCUCUUUGAAUGGUUGAAUGAGACAAAAGAAGUAAAAGAUACGAAAUUAAACAGUUAGAUGCAGGUUUCUAUAACGUACAUCUUCAUAUUUGAUAUACACUUUUAGAAUACAAUUUAGAUACAAAACGCAUUACCAAAUUAAAGCUGGUAGAAUAGAUGUGAUUAUAUGAAUGUUACUAUGUUAGGUAGACUGCACUUCAUGUUAUAGCUAGCCAUGAUGAGACUCAUAACAAAAGAGGUGAAUAUAUAUGCAUGAUAUUGUUGUGGACAUGACAAACCUUCUCUACUAUUAAUUAAGAACACAAAUUUUUGGUUUAUUUUUGGACAACUCAAUAUUAAUCUACGUCUAAAAUAUCAAUAUCUACACCUAUUUCUACAUAGAUAGAACUUGCAUGACCAUACCUCGUCAGCUGGAAAUGACCAGCAUCAGUCAAAAGAAGCCACGUGUCAAGUAAAAGAGCUAACAGGGCGGCCUCUAUCGAUCCUUUCCUAAAUUCUAGUCUCUUCCAAACUCGAUUCCGAUUCGAGACAAGUUCGAUCUCUAUUUGCUCCCAACUUCCUUCACUCUUUCUUCUUUUCUAAAUCGUCGUUGUUAUUGUGAUGCCAAUUUUAGCUCUUAGUUUUAUUUCGAUGGCUCUUUCUCUCUUAAGGUUUUUGAGAGCGAUUCUUUGUUCUUCUUAGAUUUGAUCAUAAAAAAAUAAAAAAUAAAAAGACUGAGAAUGUGGGAUGUGCAUUUGGCUUGAUUAUGGUGAAAUUCUGGAAAGUGGAGAGUGGCGAGUAGCUUACUGCAUCUUUCUUCUUCGAUGGCUCUCUCUCUGGAAAACUUCCGUUAGUUCCCCGUUAGCUCUUUCAACAUGCAUAAAACAUCUUUGAUGAAAAAAAGACACGUGGCUUCUUUUGAUUGGUGUUGGUCAUUUCUAGCUGACCAGGUAUGGUCACGCAAGUUCUAUCCUUUCUACAUAGCACUAAAAAAUUCCUAUUGUCCAUGUGUAAGUUAUGUAAAAUUCUGAAAACGCUCCCAUUUCGCUUCUUGAUUGAACCUAAAAAGGCAAUAAGGAGUGUAGAUUAUCAAAUGAAGAGUGCAAAUUUCACUCUCCUAUUUUAACUUGUAUUUCGGCUAUUUCCUAAUACUAAAAUAUAAAAUAUUG